rnacentral:rRNA from 1 species
UACGUAGGGUGCAAGCGUUGUCCGGAAUUAUUGGGCGUAAAGAGCUCGUAGGCGGUUUGUCGCGUCGGCUGUGAAAACCUGGGGCUCAACCCCGGGCCUGCAGCCGAUACGGGCAAACUAGAAUUCGGUAGGGGAGACUGGAAUUCCUGGUGUAGCGGUGAAAUGCGCAGAUAUCAGGAGGAACACCAGUGGCGAAGGCGGUUUCCUGGAGCCCACUUGACGCUGAGACGCGAAAGCUGGGGGAGCAAACAGG